UUAAUUGAAACCAAAAAGAGGUAAGUCACUGUUAAUGACUAAAUUGAUUAAUAUCCAAUUAAA
rnacentral:tRNA from 2 species